AACGAUGGAGCAUUUCUUUUGUUAUACAACAUUUGAUAAUAAAUAAAUACCAUUCUCUAUUUAAUGUUGAGGCAAUUGCAUGAAAAAUUAAGAUUGCAAAUAUCUAUUGUUAGGUUAAAAAGUUAAAUAAUUAAAAGUUUGUAUGCAAAUUUAAUUUUAUGGUUCUUCUUUCUCAUUUAAAGAUGUAGCACAAAACGAAGAAGUCCUGCUGUAGCCCAUAAGUGUGCCAGUUCUCACUGCUCGAUGCCCACUUUAAUGACCGUGGUAAAUGAACAAGGACAGGGGAAAAGAAAAGAAAAAAUGAAGAACAAUAAAGAUGCAUGGGAAAGAAAGAGAAAAAGGACAGAAAAAAGGGAAGAAAACAAUGUCAGGAGCACAGGAAGAAGAAGAAAAGUAAGAAGAGUGCUAUGGAAAGAAUGUCUUGAUGUUUCCAGUCUCUCAACUCCUCUGAAGCAUGACGUGAUUCUGGGAGUGGCCAACAGGGCCAGGGCUCGCGCUGAGAACUUCCACACAAAGACAGAACAAAACAGACAAAACAAACAGAACAAAGCAAUUGGUAAUGUUGUUUGAGAGUCAUUUCUUAACCAUCUCAAAUGAUAGACUGGACUAUAUUUUUUGUUUGAUCAAAAAUCUUGAACUGUAGUCAGAUCUUCAUAAUAUAUGAUGUGCAUACUUGAGCCAA
rnacentral:lncRNA from 1 species